rnacentral:rRNA from 1 species
GACGAACGCUGGCGGCGUGCCUAAUACAUGCAAGUAGAACGAGGUGCGAACGGGUGAGGAAUGUCUGGGAAACUGCCCGUUGGAGGGGGAUAACUACGGGAAACGGUAGCUAAUACCGCAUACCAUCGGAUGUGCCCAGAUGGGAUUGGCUAGUAGGUGGGGUAACGGCUCACCUAGGCGACGAUCCCUAGCUGGUCUGAGAGGAUGACCCGCCACACUGGAACGGGGACACGGUCCAGACUCCUACGGGAGGCAGCAGUGGGGAAUAUUGGACAAUGGGCGCAAGCCUGAUGCAGCCAUGCCGCGUGUAUGAAGAAGGCCUUCGGGUUGUAAAGUACUUUCAGCAAGGAGGCGUUACUCACAGAAGAAGCACCGGCUAACUCCGUGCCAGCAGCCGCGGUAAUAC